rnacentral:rRNA from 1 species
GACGAACGCUGGCGGCGUGCCUAAUACAUGCAAGUUGAGCGCUGAAGGUUGGUACUUGUACCAACUGGAUGAGCAGCGAACGGGUGAGUAACGCGUGGGGAAUCUGCCUUUGAGCGGGGGACAACAUUUGGAAACGAAUGCUAAUACCGCAUAAAAACUUUAAACAAAAGUUUUAAGUUUGAAAGAUGCAAUUGCAUCACUCAAAGAUGAUCCCGCGUUGUAUUAGCUAGUUGGUGAGGUAAAGGCUCACCAAGGCGAUGAUACAUAGCCGACCUGAGAGGGUGAUCGGCCACAUCGGGACUGAGACACGGCCCAAACUCCUACGGGAGGCAGCAGUAGGGAAUCUUCGGCAAUGGACGAAAGUCUGACCGAGCAACGCCGCGUGAGUGAAGAAGGUUUUCGGAUCGUAAAACUCUGUUGGUAGAGAAGAACGUUGGUGAGAGUGGAAAGCUCAUCAAGUGACGGUAACUACCCAGAAAGGGACGGCUAACUACGUG